GGAAGUAAAAGCGUAACAAGGUUUCCGUAGGUGAACCUGCGGAGGGAUCAUUAUUGUAUAACCGAGGUGCGAGGGCUGUCGCUGACCCGAAAGGUCGUGCACGCCCGAGUGCCCUCACACACAUCCAUCUCACCCCUAUGUGCACCACCGCGUGGGUCCCCCUUUGGCUUGUUCGGAGGGGGGCUUACGUUUUCACACAAACUUUGUAUGCAGUGUAGAAUGUAUUUUUUGUUUUUGCGAUCACGCAAUCAAUACAACUUUCAACAACGGAUCUCUUGGCUCUC
rnacentral:misc_RNA from 1 species